AGAUCUCUCUACACAAGACUGGCUGUGCUGCAAAUCAUUAUGUGGACCAGCCUGACCUUGAACUUGCGGAGUUGCCUUCUGUCUGCCUCUCCUUCCUGAGUGCUGGGAUGAAAGGUGUGUAUUACCAUGGCAACAUGUAGUCUUAAAGAUGAUUAAAAUGGCAAAUGAAGUCAAACAGGAGCCUUACUCUAAGGAGUACAUGAUCUCCGCCUCCACGCAUGAAGACACGGAAGGGCAAGUGGAAUCUAUGCGGCACAGAGAGGAGGUGAGCGGUUAUCCGAGGAUGAGGUAGGU
rnacentral:lncRNA from 1 species